UACGUAGGCAGCAAGCGUUGUUCGGAAUUACUGGGCGUAAAGAGUGUGUAGGCGGUGCUCUAAGUCUGUUGUGAAAUCUCCCAGCUUAACCGGGAGGGUGCGGCGGAAACUGGAGUGCUUGAGGGUGGGAGAGGUAAGCGGAAUUCCUGGUGUAGCGGUGAAAUGCGUAGAUAUCAGGAGGAACACCUGUGGUGUAGACAGCUUACUGGACCACUUCUGACGCUGAGACACGAAAGCGUGGGUAGCAAACAGG
rnacentral:rRNA from 1 species